UAUUCAUAGUGCACGGUGCCUAGAUUCUAAGGCCGGCCUCCGGAUGGUAAGGCUCUGUCGUGAGGGAACAACAUUCAGGAUAGGAAAUGAUCUUGAACUGACGGUACCUUACCAGAAAGCCACGGCUAACUACGUGCCAGCAGCCGCGGUAAUACGUAGGUGGCAAGCGUUAUCCGGAAUUAUUGGGCGUAAAGGGUGCGUAGGCGGUUUAUUAAGUCUAUGGUGAAAGUGCGGGGCUCAACCCCGUAUGGCCAUAGAAACUGGUAGACUUGAAUGCAGGAGAGGGCAAUGGAAUUCCAUGUGUAGCGGUAAAAUGCGUAGAUAUAUGGAGGAACACCAGUGGCGAAGGCGGUUGCCUGGCCUGUAACUGACGCUGAAGCACGAAAGCGUGGGGAGCAAAUAGGAUUAGAUACCCUAGUAAUCCACGCCGUAAACGAUGAAUACUAAGUGUUGGAGAAAUUCAGUGCUGCAGUUAACGCAAUAAGUAUUCCGCCUGGGGAGUAUGCACGCAAGUGUGAAACUCAAA
rnacentral:rRNA from 1 species